UGCAUUUAUGCUAUGAUUAAUGCAUUAAUCAUGGCAUAAAUGUAACGUGUAGAGGGGCCCUAAGUAACUUCCUUCAUUGCCAUAAACAGUACACAUUGGUGUCUGUGGUUCUGGGUGGUAAACAGGAUUUGUGAGCAAGUCAGAAUUUUUUUAGGUAUAGUAUCCACAGUUCAGGACUGACUGGACACAGAAGAAAGACAUGGAGGCAUCCUGUCUCUGAGUUUAGGUUACAAGGGAUAAAGACAACACUGGUGACCAUUUAGUAGCCAAAUACCCUAGAGUGCAAAUUCACAAAUCAUCCCAGUUCCACUGUGCUUCCCCACUAGUCUUCAGCACUGCAUAUCAAUAGCAAGUGUGAAUGUGGUACGCAACACAGAAAUAUGGAAUUUAAUUGCUUUGCAACUCCUGAGUUAAGUAUAAAAAAAUAGAAAAACAAUAUUAUGCUUUAUCCUGCCAUGUAUUUUCCCUAUAUACAGUACAUACGCCAGGUACAUAUCUACAACAUAUGGGCAUAAAUAUUGUGUGUGUAUGUGUGUCUGCACAUGAACUCCACAUGGAAACAAAGUUAUUUCCUACCACUCUGCAGUGCUGUCUUACUAGAAAACAAAAUAUUGCUGCUCCUGAGAGAAAGAGACUAAUAGCACAAGCUACUGGCAGAUAUAAUAGAACAGUUUUCCACACAACUCUGUCAAUGCACAUCAGUUCUGAUCUGCAACAACUGUGUCUGACCUGAGGAGACAAUCUACAGCUUCCCCAGUUGUUUCCACCCAGGGCUCCUCCUGAACAAGGCAGGCACCUGUGCUCAAUUUUGCAGUGAUUUAGGGGUGGUUUAAUGUAUGGUAGAUUUUAAAUGAACUUGAACAAGAACUUGUGGAACAAGAAAUCAUCCACAGACUAGACUGUGUUAGGUAUGGUCUAAAUCAAGAAUACAGAUUUGUGUCUCAUUACCUGGCUUAGUUUUUAUAACCCCUCAGUGGGCUGACUCCUUUUUCUCUCACCUUGCCUCUCACAGCAGUGCCCACCUCCUUUUUCCUCCCUGUUUCCCUAAUGUUCUAAUCACUGCUUUCUAUUUAGCAGCUUUGCAUACUGCAGUCCCUUCACAGCCUCUGGAGUAAGCCUGCUUAGGAAAGCCUGCUUCCAAAAGCUUAUGCUGUACAUCUCUGAUUUAGUUAGUCAUUAGGGUGCAAAUCAACCAUGCUUUCCACUAGAUUUUACCCAGGCUGUCACCUAACCUUUUUCUUGAAAUUAAUUCUAGUUGCCUAGGUGGAUAUUUGAAUUAUGAUUAUAAAAUACUAUAUUAGGUUGCAUCUUGUAUCCUAUUUAUGUCAAGAAGAAUUUUGCAGUUGACCAGUGUCAGUGGAAGAGGAUUCUUUGUUCUAUUAUUGUUGUGCCGGUCGAGUUACAACUAAGAAGGGAAUUAUAUUAUGAUGCCUUUGUGUUUAUUGGGGAUGAACACACUGAAUUAAGAAAAAGAAUAAAAAAACCCGAUCAGAACCACUACCUCUUUCUGGAACCAAAUGUAUACACAGAAAAGUGUGGACAUGCAUUUUCACUUUCAAUACUGUCUAGGAAUAUACUGAAAUAAUCUCUGAAAAAAUCGAUUUCACAGGACCUGAUGCAAACCUUGCUGAAGUCAAUGAGAAACUUUCCACUGCUGUCAGUGAAAUUUGGAUCAGGCUCUUGGAUCUUUCUGGCUGGGACUGAAAGUAGCAGCACUAUUAAACUCUUCACCUUGGAGAUGAAUCCAUCCCUAGGUUUUAUAGGCUGUUUGUGCUUCACACACAUUUUUGACUCCCUGGCUUCCAGUGCUAUCUGGCAACCUUCCAGAGCUGUCUCAAUUUUUCACCUCAAGACUUCCUCUGCUGCUUGGAUGAGCACUUUUCUGUCUGCAAGCUGCUUGGGACAUGAAGAAGUUUUAAAUUUGGGGAGCAGAAGACCUAACAUUGGGACACUGGGCUAGUUUCUGUGUGUGUGUCUUUGCCUCUUGAGGCCUUCUGUGAAUGAACAUGGAAGAAAGAGCUCAAAUAAUAUAUGUCUUUGUUUAGACUCUA